GCAUAUCAAUAAGCGGAGGAAAAGAAACCAACCGGGAUUGCCUCAGUAACGGCGAGUGAAGCGGCAAGAGCUCAAAUUUGAAAUCUGGCCCCUCCGGGGUCCGAGUUGUAAUUUGUAGAGGAUGCUUCGGGUGCGGCCCCCGUCUAAGUGCCCUGGAACGGGCCAUCGGAGAGGGUGAGAAUCCCGUCUGGGACGGGGUGUCCGCGUCCAUGUGAAGCUCCUUCGACGAGUCGAGUUGUUUGGGAAUGCAGCUCUAAAUGGGUGGUAAAUUUCAUCUAAAGCUAAAUACUGGCCGGAGACCGAUAGCGCACAAGUAGAGUGAUCGAAAGAUGAAAAGCACUUUGAAAAGAGAGUUAAACAGCACGUGAAAUUGUUGAAAGGGAAGCGCUUGCGACCAGACUCGCUUCCGGGGUUCAGCCGGCUUUCGGGCCGGUGUACUUCCCCGGGGGCGGGCCAGCGUCGGUUUGGGCGGCCGGUCAAAGGCCCCUGGAAUGUAACGCCUCUCGGGGCGCCUUAUAGCCAGGGGUGUCAUGCGGCCAGCCUGGACCGAGGAACGCGCUUCGGCACGGACGCUGGCAUAAUGGUCGUAAACGACCCGUCUUGAAACACGGACCAAGGAGUCUAACAUCUACGCGAGUGUUCGGGUGUCAAACCCGUGCGCGCAGUGAAAGCGAACGGAGGUGGGAGCCCCCUCGCGGGGCGCACCAUCGACCGAUCCUGAUGUCUUCGGAUGGAUUUGAGUAAGAGCGUAGCUGUGGGGACCCGAAAGAUGGUGAACUAUGCCUGAAUAGGGCGAAGCCAGAGGAAACUCUGGUGGAGGCUCGCAGCGGUUCUGACGUGCAAAUCGAUCGUCAAAUUUGGGUAUAGGGGCGAAAGACUAAUCGAACCAUCUGGUAGCUGGUUCCUGCCGAG
rnacentral:rRNA from 1 species